AUUGCCCCUUGAGGCGUUGCAGUGCGACUGCUUCCCGUCGUUGCUGUGUCAUAAGGUGGCAUAGACUAAUGGGCUAUGUCUACGCUCAGUACCCCCAGAAACAGUGGGUGCUCAGUUUGAUUUAUAGUCCCUACA